GACGAACGCUGGCGGCGUGCUUAACACAUGCAAGUCGAACGAGGCUCCUUCUUCGGUUGGGGUUCUAGUGGCGAACGGGUGAGUAACACGUGGGCAACCUGCCCCUGGCUCUGGGAUAACUCCAAGAAAUUGGGGGCUAAUACCGGAUAUGACCGCUGAUCGCAUGGUCUGGUGGUGGAAAGAUUUAUCGGCUGGGGAUGGGCCCGCGGCCUAUCAGCUUGUUGGUGGGGUAGUGGCCCACCAAGGCGACGACGGGUAGCCGGCCUGAGAGGGCGCACGGCCACACUGGAACUGAAACACGGUCCAGACUCCUACGGGAGGCAGCAGUGGGGAAUUUUGCGCAAUGGGGGAAACCCUGACGCAGCAACGCCGCGUGAAGGAUGAAGGUCUUUGGAUUGUAAACUUCUUUCGAUCGGGAAGAUAAUGACGGUACCGAGAGAAGGAG
rnacentral:rRNA from 1 species